GACAGGAAGUGGUGAACCAAGAACCAAGGGUUAAGGAUUUUAUGGAAAGAUGGCCUGCACUUUUCAGAGAGAAAGAGAUAAAUGCAGAGUUCCAGAGGCUUGUGGCUCUACCCCUUGAGCAGACGUUUUUUGCCCAGCUCGACAAGUACUCUGAUCAGCUGAUUCACGUUAUCCAGGCAAAAGGAGGAGCAACACGUGAAAAAACUGCAAACAUCAUGCAAACUUUAAACCAGGCUGAUGACAUCCAUCUUCAGAGGGAGUGUGUCCUGAAAGCUCUCAUUA